rnacentral:rRNA from 1 species
UUAGCGGCGGACGGGUGAGUAACACGUGGAUAACCUACCUAUAAGACUGGGAUAACUUCGGGAAACCGGAGCUAAUACCGGAUAAUAUUUUGAACCGCAUGGUUCAAAAGUGAAAGACGGUCUUGCUGUCACUUAUAGAUGGAUCCGCGCUGCAUUAGCUAGUUGGUAAGGUAACGGCUUACCAAGGCAACGAUGCAUAGCCGACCUGAGAGGGUGAUCGGCCACACUGGAACUGAGACACGGUCCAGACUCCUACGGGAGGCAGCAGUAGGGAAUCUUCCGCAAUGGGCGAAAGCCUGACGGAGCAACGCCGCGUGAGUGAUGAAGGUCUUCGGAUCGUAAAACUCUGUUAUUAGGGAAGAACAUAUGUGUAAGUAACUGUGCACAUCUUGACGGUACCUAAUCAGAAAGCCACGGCUAACUACGUGCCAGCAGCCGCGGUAAUACGUAGGUGGCAAGCGUUAUCCGGAAUUAUUGGGCGUAAAGCGCGCGUAGGCGGUUUUUUAAGUCUGAUGUGAAAGCCCACGGCUCAACCGUGGAGGGUCAUUGGAAACUGGAAAACUUGAGUGCAGAAGAGGAAAGUGGAAUUCCAUGUGUAGCGGUGAAAUGCGCAGAGAUAUGGAGGAACACCAGUGGCGAAGGCGACUUUCUGGUCUGUAACUGACGCUGAUGUGCGAAAGCGUGGGGAUCAAACAGGAUUAGAUACCCUGGUAGUCCACGCCGUAAACGAUGAGUGCUAAGUGUUAGGGGGUUUCCGCCCCUUAGUGCUGCAGCUAACGCAUUAAGCACUCCGCCUGGGGAGUACGACCGCAAGGUUGAAACUCAAAGGAAUUGACGGGGACCCGCACAAGCGGUGGAGCAUGUGGUUUAAUUCGAAGCAACGCGAAGAACCUUACCAAAUCUUGACAUCCUUUGACAACUCUAGAGAUAGAGCCUUCCCCUUCGGGGGACAAAGUGACAGGUGGUGCAUGGUUGUCGUCAGCUCGUGUCGUGAGAUGUUGGGUUAAGUCCCGCAACGAGCGCAACCCUUAAGCUUAGUUGCCAUCAUUAAGUUGGGCACUCUAAGUUGACUGCCGGUGACAAACCGGAGGAAGGUGGGGAUGACGUCAAAUCAUCAUGCCCCUU